GUCUCAUAGGAUGAGCAUGGUGCAGGAAAUCUGGCAUCGUCAUCAUCGAUGGCCGUCAGAUAGGGCGACAAAAAGUACUAUGCUGCGACUGUCCAGGUUCUCGGGAUGACCUUUGAUUGGUGAUGAUCCAUCCAUGCACGACGGCUCCUUUUCUUACACAGCCAUUCAAUGCCAUGCUCUUCCAUGGGUACAGCUGCAUGCCUCAAGCGAUCUCUCGAGUCCUCCGAUUAUGCAAGGUGGGAGGAGGGGUUUUGCAGGCUAGAUUUAGCUUGGGUCUCCCUCCUGCUUCGCUACAGUGGCACGCUGCCGCAUCCGGGCCCAGCCAUUAUGGGGAGCUCCACUAUCGCUUAGUACUGUUUAACUCGCCCUAUCGGGGGAGAAGAAGGCGGUCAAAGGGGCAGUACGCCACACACCGAGCUUUGGCCUGCACCUGCAUCGAUGUCUGCUUUUGGACCUUUGGACGCACCCCACUUGCUUGGAUCUCUGCUCCAGGGGUUAGAUAACUCGAAGAAGUCACUCUGAUGAAUCCUCUUCACAUUGUGUUUGGAUCACCCAACGCCUGCCUCGCGUCGCUGUCAACCAACAGUUCUCAUCCUCCUCUGUGGCCUGGAACCAAUCAACCUGUAUAUGUAUCUUUCCUUCACAGGUUUCAUCUUGGGCUAUGCGUUUGUUUGCCUUCUCCCCUUUGUGCACACAGGCCGCUACUGCAAACUCGAUGAUAGGAAAUCUGCUUCGCUUGCUGAUAUGCUGCCAACAUCUGCUUUGCCUUGUGCUUUCUCCCUUUCUUGUUCGAUUUGCUCGUCUCCUGAUACACAUACUGCUAAUAUGCCAUGAUCCCCCUCCUUUGUUUCCGGUCAUGUUCUUCGGAAUCUCAUUUGUUUCAGAAUCUUUCUCCUUUCUUUCCCUGUUGCCAUCUCUGCAGCUUUGACUGGUGAGAAAUAGGAAUUAGGGUUCCGAAGGUGAGACAGCCCCUUGUGCAAUACACGCCUUCCCAGCUCUAGGGCUUCCGGGGUCCUACUACUUCCCUUUCCUGAGAAGAACUCUAAAGCCAUCAAUCACAAAGCUACAGUGGUGGCCAGUGGCCACUUGAAGCAACUUACCAUUCAUUCCCUUGCAUUGGAUCUUUCCAGUGAUGGAUAGGAUUCUAUAGCACACAAAGAGGUGCUGUUGAGCAUACUAUAUCAUUCCCCCAAAAGAAGAAGCUUCUUGUGUGGACAUCAUGAUUGCUAUUUUACUUGUUCUUUGAUUGUUUCACAAGUAAGACUUCAUUGUCUGCAACUUAGAUACAUAUAGCUUACUUGCUUCUUUAAUCUUUGUAAGCAAUACAAGAUGUUGGUACAUAAUCGACUAUAAUUUCAUGAUUGAAUCCAAA